GUAGGGUGCAAGCGUUAUCCGGAUUUAUUGGGCGUAAAGAGUUUCGCAGGCGGUUUUUAAGUCAGUUGUUAAAUACUCCGGCUUAACCGGAGAAAGGCAAUCGAUACUGAAAAACUAGUGUUAGGUCGGGGGUGUUGGAAUUCCCGGUGGAGGGGUGAAAUCCGUUGAGAUCGGGAGGAACACCGAGGGCGAAGGCAGACACCUAGGCCUUAACAGACGCUGAUGAACGAAAGCUAGGGGAGCGAAUGGGAUUAGAGACCCCAGUAGUCCUAGCCGUAAACAAUGCCUACUAGCUGCUCCGGUGUUACAUCGGAGUGGCGCAAGCUAACGCGUUAAGUAGGCCGCCCUGGGAAGUACGGCCGCAAGGCUA
rnacentral:rRNA from 1 species